UACAGAGGGUGCAAGCGUUGUUCGGAAUCACUGGGCGUAAAGGGUGCGUAGGCGGGUCUUUAAGUCAGGGGUGAAAUCCUGGAGCUCAACUCCAGAACUGCCUUUGAUACUGGCGAUCUUGAGUUCGGGAGAGGUGAGUGGAACUGCGAGUGUAGAGGUGAAAUUCGUAGAUAUUCGCAAGAACACCAGUGGCGAAGGCGGCUCACUGGCCCGAUACUGACGCUGAGGUGCGAAAGCGUGGGGAGCAAACAGG
rnacentral:rRNA from 1 species